GAAUUCAAUUCCAUGAUUUGGCAAUCAGCCCUCUAGCUGUUGAACGGCAACAUCACGACUGCUGUUAUGAUUUGAAUCAAGCAGAGCACAAAGCUGAGCUCCCGUUCGACACAGACACCAUCAUCAAUAACUGGUUAACUGGUUGGGGCUUAUUGGCGGGACAGAUGUACGAGACUGCACAUGGCAUAUAUUGAAGAGGGCGACCGACAACUCCCUGGCUUAAAACCUCAACUGGAUGGAAAAUACUUUAUUUGCCACCCUCUAACUCAGAGAGGUGGUGAUUGAUGCAGUUCGGAGAAGGUCCCUUACAGUUGUGGAGAGGACAAUGAAGAGGUGGCUCGAUCGAGAGGGUGGGUGCAAGAGACAACUUUAGCAAAAGAAAAGCAGUUAGUGUUAGCGCCUGUGUUUGAGUCUGCAAAGGAGAAUGUUUUGUGCUGUAAAAAGAGUGGUGGUGUUUUGGUUAAAUGUGUUUAACUUGUUUAAAUUACUUGGCUUGCGUGUGAGAGGUGCGUGUGGGUUGGUAUAUGUGGUUUAUGGGGAAUAGUGUAUAAUGACAUGUUUAAUAUGCUAUAAACAUGCUUUACAGGGACACAAUACUAAGUGGUACUUUUUCAGAUUAAAGACUUCCAACAGAUUUUUGUGAUGGUUGGGCUUAGGGACUGGGGUAAGUUAAGGCAAUAGAAUAUACAGUUUGUACAGUAUAAAAUGCAUUGUGUCUAUGGAAUUGUCCCGGUAAACCACAUAUGCCAAUGUGUGUGUGUGGUGUGUGUGUGAGAGAGAAUUUUUUUCUUUAAAUGUUAAUUCAUUUGUUUUACAUGUUGUCUCGCUGUAAUUGCUUAAGGGGAUAAUUCACCCCAAAAUUGCAAUUUUAUCAUAAAUCACUUCCCCUCUGUCGUUCUAAACCAACAAGUGCUUAGAUUGUCUUUAGAACACGUUUUUAGAUAUUUUUGAUGAAAACUGGGAGGCUUCUGUCCGUCCCAUUGAUUUCAGUAAGUUUUACAAUCCGUUUAACACAAAAGAAUGAAAGACAUUGCCAAAAAGUUCAGUGUUCCAUCAGUAUUUCAAUGAAAUUUUUUUUCAACAGUUUGUUCUUCUCCUUGGUCGUUCAAAGCCUGUUAACGACCAGACUACGGCACAUCCUGCUGACGUCACCUGCUGCUGACGUCACCUGCUGACGUAGUUCCCAGCGUACAGACAGAAUAGGCUACCAAGUAAUUUGUACAUUUAUUUGGGCUGUUUAAGUAUUGUUACAAUGUUUGCAUUAUGCUUUAAAAAAAAGCGUAGAAAAAAAACCCCAUUGGUAACCACAUCAGCAAGUGACGUGAGCUGCAGGUGAUGUCAGCAGCAUCGCUGUAGUCUGGUCUUGAAUACACUUUCAACAACUAAGGAGGAGAACAAAUUGUUGAAAUCGUUCGUUUUAUUUUCUUUGUGCACAAAGUGUUCUUGUCACUUCAUAAUAUUAUUAUUAAACUACUAAUGGAAAAUGGACCUUUUUGGCGAUGUCUUUCAUUCUUUUCUGGGAAACGGAUUGUGAGACUAACUUA